AUCUAGUUGACGAGUCCAAAGUAGGACGAAACUCACGUCAAACUGGAU
rnacentral:hammerhead_ribozyme from 1 species